rnacentral:lncRNA from 1 species
GGGACUGCAUACAGAGUGUGGGGGUGAUGGUGGGGGGGGCGGUGAUAUGGUGGAAGCCGGAGUGGAAGGUGAUCGACCUGGUGUGCACGCUGGUGUUCUCUGUGGUGGUGCUGGCCACAACCAUCAAGAUGCUGCGGGACAUCCUGGAGGUGCUCAUGGAGAGCACGCCGCGGGAGGUGGACGCCACGCGGCUGGAGCGCGGGCUCUGCGCCGUGGACGGCGUGGUGGCCGUCCACGAGCUCCACGUAUGGGCGAUCACUGUCGGCAAGGUCCUCCUUGCCUGCCAUGUGACCGUCGCGCCGACGGCUGACGCGGAUCGAGUCCUGGACGAGGUUAUUGGGUACAUCCGGCGGGAGUACAACAUCAGCCAUGUCACCAUCCAGAUCGAGCGCCAGUAGCCCACCUCCCCCGGCCGGCCGACCGACGUAGGUGCCUCUUCCCCAUAACCUCUCCUUCUUUCCUUGUGAUUGUUGGAGUAAAUGCGCACCAAAUAUUGUCCUUGUGAUCUGCGCGACUAGAGAUAAUAAUGAAUCCACAACCAUGGCGUUGACCCACAGAUCGUAAUGUGGUUAGGAGGCUGGCCUACUGCAUCCACCGAACAACCAUGGCAGCCUCACUAUAUGUGGAAAAGUUUUCAAAGAGUUUUUCACUAAGAACCCGAAGAACAAGUCAUCACUCUUGGAGGUGAAAGGUUAUGGCAGUCAAGGGGAGGUCGAAGAGAAAGAAGAAGAAGAAGAGUCUUCACGGCUGCCGGUGCUUCGCUCAGGUUAGUGUGCAUCCAACUGGGGUAGUGGACCAGUGGGUGGUGGUCUGCGUUGGCAUUAGUCAACUUGGUCUGCUCAGAAUGGUUCUGGGGGUUGAUCUAUCUUGAUCUAUUUUUCCUAAUAUUUUUUAAUUUUAAUUUGUAUUUGCUACUCUCUCUCUCUCUCUCUCCUCCCCUACACNNNNNNNNNNNNNNNNNNNNNNNNNNNNNNNNNNNNNNNNNNNNNNNNNNNNNNNNNNNNNNNNNNNNNNNNNNNNNNNNNNNNNNNNNNNNNNNNNNNNNNNNNNNNNNNNNNNNNNNNNNNNNNNNNNNNNNNNNNNNNNNNNNNNNNNNNNNNNNNNNNNNNNNNNNNNNNNNNNNNNNNNNNUUUUAGUUAUUUGUCUACUCUCUCUCUCUCUCUCUCUCCCCCUACACAAUAAAGUGGCAAGCUUCAUUCACCCUGCUUUACAAACAAUAUCUCUUCCUGAUCCUUUUUUGUGGGAGUUAAGGAUACAAAAGAUGAUCAAAUGGAAGGCAUUUUUGUAAAAUGCCCCCUUGUGGCAUGGGGCCGAUGUGCAUCCUGCGAGCCAUUCAUUAUUUCAUUCGGUAGGAGGAGGAUCGCCCCUGAGAUGGUGGCUUCUCAGUUGAGAGUCAUGGUGGACCCUGGGAUGUGAAUUGGUGGCUAAGCCCUUGAAUCAAUAUGUACACAACCUAGAAAUCAAUGGAAUCCGAUAAUAUUAUCUUUCGAGAGGGGAGCAGGUCAUGAAGACUAAACCACUAGAAAAUCGUAGUGCAAUAGUUUUGAUAUAAAUUCUCAAAACAUUAAAAAUCAAGAACCAAUUAAUUCACCUCCCUUCUUAAUUCAUAUGUAUAGUCUUUUAGGGACCUAAUUAUUAUACUUAAGAUGCACGCACAAAUAUGAGGAUAUGCGUGCACUAAGUAUCUCAAUGAUACAUGAGGUGUCAACCCUUACGAAUAUUGCUUUUAUGUUGAACAUGUUGGAUCACUAAAUACAUGAUAUUUUGAUGAUGAUAAUCAAUCAUAAGAUGAAACAAAAAGUUUGAAUUUAUGUUCAAUUCCAAAUAUAAAUGACAUGGGACUAAACAUGGAAAUGUUUAGGUAUAAUGCAAACUAAUCCGGAUAAAUGCUUAAAUGAGAACUCAUUCAAUUUAACUAUUAUGUAUGAAAUAUAUUUUAUCUAAUUGAUUCAUCUCAUCAUGAGAGACUACUAUUUUGUAUAUUAUUGUAGGGAUUGAGAAUAUUUACAAAAACUAUCAUGAUUUGGAAUCAAUUAUUAAGAUGCUUAAAUUGAUGAUAUUUUGCAAAGCAAAAUAUGGCUAUGAGACCUUAAUUAAUCAUGUACUAUAUUUUUACAUUUUCAGUUUCAAAAGGUUUUGACAAAAAUUUAAUAAAAUAAAUUCAAAUUAUUCAUUUCUAUCAAACAUGAUUUUCAUAUAUUACUUAAUAUAUAUUAAAAUUCAAGUAAAUUUUAUGGACCACUAAAAUCCUUAUUAAAAAAUUGACAUUCAAGGUGUCUUGUUAAUAAUCACAUUUUUUUAGAUGAUUUGGAUCCGGUUUGAUGGCUAAAUAACAAUAACAUAUCCAAACAAUGGCCAAUGUUUAAAACAGUCCGCUUUGGUUUUAAUCGUUAUUCUGCCCAUCUAUUAGUUUUGGUUGAUUUCGGAUCUGCAUGGCAUAAAAAAUAUAUUUGUUUACCUUGUUGCAAAGCGACGUGAAAUAUUUUUUCCCAAACCAGAUCUAGUACACAACAGGAUAUAUCCUAUACGCCUUAGAUUUAAGGCCCACUAACCAUAUCUAUUAUACUUUUUAUUCAAGCCAUUAAUGAGAUACAUUACUCAUUAGAAUUCAAGCCCAAAAAAAUACACCAAAUAUUUUGUAAAUUUAACCCUAAUAAUCUGAUCUAUUACUCAGAUUCGGGUCCAAUAACAAUUUUUUUUUCUCAUUCGAUCUAGGCCCAAUAAUCUGAUAUAUCACUCUUUAUAUUCAGUUCCAAUAAGUAUCUAUUGUUGAUCUAUUUAGGCCUAAUGAACAGAUCCAUUAUGCCUUAUUCAACCUGAAUUAAAUCAAGAUAAAAUGCAGUACUCCGCGCUAUUAUUUGGUAGGUAAUAAUGAAAUCUAGAUGCGCAAAUUUCCUCAUCUUCUUAAGCUUAAAUUAAAAUAUUUAGGAUUUUCGUACCAUCAAGUUAUGAAAUUCCAUACCCAUCGAAAUGACUAGAUUAAGACGUCGAAUUUCGUGCAUAAACAUGGGGGAGAAUAUGACGAUCUCAGCACGUAUAAUAACGAUUACCGGCGCAGAACUCUGCCGGUGGCAUGAGUUCGACACGGUUGUCUAGUGCACGUACGCACGGAGGCGCAGGUGAAGACGUGUGGUGGCGCGGCUGGGCAUGCGCUGAGUGCGUGGAGUCACACGGCGGCACGCUGCGGCAUGGCGGGCAUGCCGUAACGUUCCCAUCAGCCGGAUGGACCACUUGAACUGCAUCCAGCGAAGGCUGGGCCUAUCACCGGAUCUCCUACCGAGUCCUACAAUAUUUCAGGGCAUCCCUUUUAUAUGCGGAGGCUGAAUGGAUGAGAUUCCCGCCUGCUGACACCAUCCCCCGCCGUAAGCUUACGCGCCUGGUUCUCCGCUCCCGUCCAGGUCCCCCCUCCGCGCCCCCGCCCAGCUCUCCGCUUGCCGCAAUUCCAGGGCGCCGGUGCGACGAGGUGAGGAUCUGAGCCCUAUUCGUCCGUCGGCAAGCCGGGAUCUUCGUAUUUCUCUCCCAAUCCGUUCUGCAAUUUAAUACUUCCUCAUCAUUCGCGGCUCCCAGAGCGGGAGAUCUCCUCUAGCUUGAUUCACUGCCUUGUUUUUUGUGUUCACCCGCUAUUCCUUCCGACGACGUUCCGUCGAUCAUCACUCCGAUCUCCGUAAAAUCUUACCUUUACCGCGAGAGUAGUGUUUUUGUUGUCUGGUAUCUGCCAUGGAUGGGGGCUAUGACAGCCUAGAAAGAUCUUUAUACAGUUUGCGACAUGGGACGAGCGUUGACCGUAGAUCUUCAUGACGAGAAGAUUUUUGCUAAUCGCAUGAAAUAUCCUCCGGACAGGUUUGACGAUUUUUUUCGGUGUGUUGAUAAUUUGAUCGUAUCAACCACGAGGGGUCAUGAUACCCAUGAUUUUUUCUAAUUUAUUGUUGAAAUAUAUUUCUGUUAAUUUAGGGUAAGAAAGUUCGCCUGUUCUGACUGAUUCUGUCGCCUUGCACCUCAGAUGAACGAGCAGGACCACCAGGGAGAGAGCCCUCUCCAGGGCCAGAUCAUUGAGGUCAGCGCCGAUGUGUCCAACGGGGGGGUCCGCCGCGUGGGGGUGAAGAAGGUCUGCAGCGGCGCCCCCUGCGGGUUCUCCGAGGCCAGUGCGAGCUCAAAGGAUGCGGAGGAGCGGUCCGCCUCCAUGAGGAAGCUCCGCUGGGCAGUCAUCCUCUGCGUUAUCUUCAUGAGUGUGGAGGUCUUCGGGGGGAUAAAGGCCAACAGCCUGGCGAUCCUGACCGAUGCGGCCCACCUGCUGUCCGACGUGGCGGCCUUCGCCAUCUCGCUCUUCUCCCUCUGGGCCGCCGGCUGGGAGGCCACACCGCGCCAGUCCUACGGCUUCUUCCGCAUCGAGAUCCUCGGCGCCCUCGUCUCCAUCCAGCUCAUCUGGCUCCUCACCGGCAUCUUGGUCUACGAGGCCAUCGCGCGCCUCGUCGGCCCCACCGGAGAGGUCCGCGGGUCCCUCAUGUUCGCCGUCUCCGCCUUUGGCGUGGUAGUCAACGUCCUCAUGGCCCUCCUCCUCGGCCACGACCAUGGGCACGGCCAUGGGCACAGCCAUGGCCAUGGGCACGGGCACGGGCACGACCAUGGCCACGCCCACGGCGAGGCACAUGGGCACGCCUACACUGUGACCAUCACCAAGUCGGGUGAGGAGGAGCACGAGCCUCUGCUGAAGUCCUCGGAGGAGCUUGCAGCAGGGGCAAGGAAGGCCAAGGAGGGGAAGAGGGAGAGCAUCAAUAUACGGGGGGCGUACCUGCACGUGCUGGGGGACUGCAUACAGAGUGUGGGGGUGAUGGUGGGGGGGGCGGUGAUAUGGUGGAAGCCGGAGUGGAAGGUGAUCGACCUGGUGUGCACGCUGAUGUUCUCAGGAGUGGUGUUAGCCACAACCAUCAAGAUGCUGCGGGACAUCCUGGAGGUGCUCAUGGAGAGCACGCCGCGGGAGGUGGACGCCACGCGGCUGGAGCGCGGGCUCUGCGCCGUGGACGGCGUGG